UACGAAGGGGGCUAGCGUUGCUCGGAAUCACUGGGCGUAAAGGGUGCGUAGGCGGGUCUUUAAGUCAGGGGUGAAAUCCUGGAGCUCAACUCCAGAACUGCCUUGAUACUGAAGAUCUUGAGUUCGGAGAGGUGAGUGGAACUGCGAGUGUAGAGGUGAAAUUCGUAGAUAUUCGCAAGAACACCAGUGGCGAAGGCGGCUCACUGGCCCGAUACUGACGCUGAGGCACGAAAGCGUGGGGAGCAAACAGGG
rnacentral:rRNA from 1 species